rnacentral:rRNA from 1 species
AACGAACGCUGGCGGCAUGCCUAACACAUGCAAGUCGAACGAGACCUUCGGGUCUAGUGGCGCACGGGUGCGUAACGCGUGGGAACCUGCCCUUAGGUUCGCAAUAACUCCCCGAAAGGGGUGCUAAUACCGGAUAAUGUCUUCGGACCAAAGAUUUAUCGCCUUUGGAUGGGCCUGAGUUGGAUUAGCUGCGUGGUAGGGUAAAAGCCUACCAGGGGGACGAUCCAUAGAUGGUCUGAGAGGAAGAUCAGCCACACUGGCACUAGGCAACGGCCCAGACUCUUACGGGAGGGAGCAGUGGCGAAUAUUGGCCAACCGGCGACAGCAUGAUCCAGCACUGCCGCGUGAGUGCUGAAGGACUUAGGGUUGUAAAGCUCUUUUACCCGGGAUGAUAAUGACAGUACCGGGAGAAUAAGCUCCGGCUAACUCCGUG